UACGGGGGGGGCAAGCGUUGUUCGGAAUUACUGGGCGUAAAGGGCUCGUAGGUGGCCAACUAAGUCGGACGUGAAAUCCCCAGGCUCAACUUGGGAACUGCGUCCGAUACUGGAUGGCUUGAAUUCGGGAGAGGGAUGCAGAAUUCCAGGUGUAGCGGUGGAAUGCGUAGAUAUCUGGAGGAAUACCGGUGGCGAAGGCGGCAUCCUGGACCGAGAUUGACACUGAUGAGCGAAAGCCAGGGGAGCAAACGGG
rnacentral:rRNA from 1 species